rnacentral:rRNA from 1 species
CAGUAGCCGCGGGAAUACGUAGGUGGCAAGCGUUGUCCGGAAUUAUUGGGCGUAAAGGGCUCGCAGGCGGUUUCUUAAGUCUGAUGUGAAAGCCCCCGGCUCAACCGGGGAGGGUCAUUGGAAACUGGGAAACUUGAGUGCAGAAGAGGAGAGUGGAAUUCCACGUGUAGCGGUGAAAUACGUAGAGAUGUGGAGGAACACCAGUGGCGAAGGCGACUCUCUGGUCUGUAACUGACGCUGAGGAGCGAAAGCGUGGGGAGCGAACAGGAUUAGAUACCCCCGUAGUCCCUGUCUCUUAUAC